rnacentral:rRNA from 1 species
UGGGGAAUAUUGGGCAAUGGAGGAAACUCUGACCCAGCGACGCCGCGUGAGGGAUGAAGGCCUUCGGGUUGUAAACCUCCUUUCAGCAGGGAAUAAGCGAAAGUGAAGGUACCUGCAGAAGAAGCACCGGCUAACUAUGUG